UGUGUCGCGAGCUUCAGAGCGUUCGAUGUGGAGAAGGGAUAUGCUCGAUCCGAUGCUCUCGGCCGUGAUGCGUUUAUGUCUUGCUCCCGAAGAGUUCCAAUCGAUCGAUGCCUGAAGACGAGCUUGCUAGCUUCACCCCUCUUGAUCUGAAACCCACAGCCGUGAAGAGCAAAGCGAACGAUGAUGAUAUUGUGGCUUGGUCGAUUCGUUCUCCUCGAUCCCACCUGAUGAUUCUCGAGCUUGGACGAUUGCAAGGGAGGAGACGAGCUUGUUUUAGUUGUUCCGACGACAAGACGAGCUCCGGUAGUCACACGAAUUGGCCGACAAAGAAGACGAGACGCAGCGGCUCAGGUAUGUCGGAGGUGUGGUCUCGGCGAGAAGGCAGAGCUCCGGUGGUCGCCACACGAAACGAAACGAAGCAAGCUCUAGUCACAGACUCGUGAAGAAGAAGACCCAAGCAGUUGGAGCAAUGGAGGAUUUGCGAGGAAGAUGAAGAAACGCAGUCGCCAAACGCGAUUUCCAAACGCUAAACGCCAAACGCGAUUUUGACUUGACCGCAGCGUUUUGUAAAUCUGCGUUUGACCUUUAUUUUAAGGACCUAUAAAUAAUUGUUAAGGAAAAACCCCCCCCCCCGGGAUCUUAGUUUUCAGAUCUAUUUUUCUCUUUUAAAAACUUUUGUAAAAGCUUGAAUCUUUAUCAUCUUUAAACAUUUUAAUCUUGUGUUAUUUUGAUUAUCUCUUUUUCUAAUUAUGAUUAGCCUUAAACUAAACCAUUGUUUCAAGGUUUUCAUGACUAUUAGUGAGUAAUCUCCCAUAAAUUUAUGGGCUAGGUAGAUUAGGGUGAAAGGUGGAAGAUUAAAGAUGCUCAGAACUAGAUUAGUAAUGUUUCUUACAAAUGAGAUGUGCUUAAUGCUAGAGUAGACUUGAUCUAUCUAUUUCUAAAUUCUGGAUUAUUUCAUGCCCGAAAAGUGUUCGAUGAAAUGUCUGAAUGUCUCAUAUUAUGUUUUGCUGUUUGACCGACGAGAGUCGCUGCAUUAAGGGCACUUCGACUAUUAGGACUUGUUUGAAUGCAUGCUUGAGUGUAGUUGACCAACGAGAGUUGAUGUAUUGAUGCAUGACUAGUGCAGGAGUUAUUAUCACGAGAGUGGAUUAACUUAUCAUUGUGUUCCUAGGUUAAAGAAACUUAUUAGUUGAUUGUGUUGAGCAUCUUAAGUCUGAAGCCUAUCACCCGAAAUCGAUUGCCUUGUCCCAUGAGUUUAGCCUUUAAUCUUGAUUAUAAUCUGUUCUUGCUUGAGUUUAUUGUCUAAAACUUAGCUCAUCAUUCUAAAACCAACUUGAUUUGCUUAGAUUAAAUGACUUCUUGUAUUCUACAUGCUUUAAACAAUCUUAGGUUGGAUUGACAUCUUUAAUACUACAUAGACACAUCAAGUUUUGGCGCCGUUGCCAUCCUAAGACUAGCUUUAAACAUAGAGAUUUGGUUGUUGUUUACGACUAAGUUUUAUUUUUAUUUUGUUACUUACUUUCUCUACUCUUCACUCUUUGUCAUCAACAGAUGAAUGCACCUGCGAAAUAGAGGAUCAACAGAUUUAACUCGAUGGGUCGAAGAAAUUCGAGCACACGAAAGAGCGAUAGCAAGAGAAAGACGUGACCAGGAACGACUUGAACAGCUGGAAAGACAAAGGUUGAACAUGGAACAAGAACAACAUCAUCCUCAAGAACAAGUCGCUGCUCAGGGCAUUCAUGCCCAAGCAUGCAAUGGUCAGGGAGCUGCCAACCCUAGACCCGUCCACCAACCCCGAAAUCCGCGAGCCAUAGGUGCUCAUGACGAGCCAACCAUACAUAACAACCUGACGGGCAUUCGCGCACCACCGGGGGCGAACAACAACUUUGAGAUCAAGUCAAACUUGAUCAACAUGAUACAAUCUAACAAGUAUCAUGGACUGCCAAUGGAGGAUCCUCUAGAUCAUCUCCACACAUUUGACAGGCUUUGUGGGACUGUCAGGAUCAAUGGCAUUUCUGAAGAUGCUUUCAAACUCAAACUCUUCCCGUUUUCACUUGGAGACAGAGCACACUUAUGGGAGAAGACCCUACUUUCAAGCUCGGUCGAAACCUGGGACAAAUGCAAGAAAGUAUUUUUAACCAAGUUCUUUUCUACUUCUAGAACUGCACGACUCCGAAAUGAAAUCAAUGGAUUCACACAGAAGGGACUUGAAAGCUUCGGAGAAGCAUGGGAGCGCUUCAAAGGCUACACAAUGAAAUGCCCUCACCAUGGUUUCUCAAAGAAAAGUAUACUCAGUACAUUCUACAGAGGACUUCUUCCAGAGUUUCGAUCAAGGCUUGACACAACGAGUAAUGGUAAUUUCUUAGGACGUGAGGAACAAGAUGGAAUGCAGUUAAUUGAGAACUUAGCCCUGACUGACUCCACCUACUGCGAUGACUAUGAUCGCUCAAUUAGGGGUACUGUGACUCAAGAUGAGCAAGCUAGAAAGGAUUUAAAAGUGCUAAGAGGAGAGAUGGACCAACUUCUUCAGCUUCAGAAGAAACAAGUUCACUACAUUGGUGAAUAUGAUCAACAGCUGGUCCAAAUUGAGCCUCAAGAGGAAUUUGUGCAGAGUGUCCAGGAAGAAGUUAACUAUGUAGGAGGACAAGGAAACUACAAUCAAAACUUCAACUACAGAAAUCAGAACACUCAGAUCCCUCAAGGACUGAACACACUGCAAGACAACUUUCAAAACAAGCCUCAAUAUAUCCCUCAAGGCAACUACCAGCAGAAACCUUUCUAUAACAAUCAGCAAGGCAACUUCCAGCAAAGAGCCUACAACAACCCACCACCUGGGUUUUACCCUAAUAAAGGUAACCAGCAAAACCAAGGUCAAGGAAUCUCCUCCAAUGCACCACCAACAUAAAGCAGUACGAAUUUCCUCCUCAAACAGCUUCUGGCCUCACAUGCCAAAUUUGAUAAAAGAAUUGAAGAUAUGGAUUCUAAGAUCACUGGAUCCUACAGAGCUCUCAAUUCCAGAAUGGAUGCUCUUGAAAAUCAGUUUGCCACUAUGAACACAAAUUCUAAAAGGCCAAUGGGUUCACUCCCUGGAAAGCCUGAGGAAAACCCGAAAGAAUUCAUUGGGGCAAUCACACUGAGGAGUGGGAAAGAAUUACCUUCAAGAGAUCUCAUUCGGGACAAUGAGAAACAGGAAGGGGAGGUGAUCAUCAAUGUGGAAGACAAUGUGGUGAUUUUGGAUGAGAAAAAGGAUGAGGAGAUCCUUCAGAAGAUUGUGGACUCAAAAGGAAAAGGGAAAGUAGUUGAAGAGAAAAAGGACACAACUGAGAAAGGAGGCGCUUCCACUGCAAAUGACACUCCAUUUGUGCCUCCUCCAUAUGAACCCAAGCUCCCAUUCCCUGGAAGAUUCAAGAAGCAGCUGGUUGACAAGUACAAAGCUCUCUUCGAGAAGCAAUUGCAUGAAGUUCAGAUUCAAAUGCCAAUCCUUGACGCAUUCAUGUUGGUGCCUCAAUACAGCAAAUUUUUGAAAGAUGCAGUCAAGGAAAAACAGAAGAAGUUAUAAGGAAUGGUAGUGCUCACACAGGAGUGUAGUGCAAUCAUCACAAAGACUGAUGUUCCAAAGAAGUUAGAGGAUCCAAGAUGCUUCACUCUCCCAUGCUCUCUUGGACCCUUGAAGUUUGAAAAUUGUCUACGCGAUCUUGGAGCAAGCAUCAGUCUGAUGCCACUUUCGGUAGCUAAGCGGCUUGGAUUCACUCAGUUUAAGAAGUGUCGCCUCUCUUUGGUACUGGCUGACAGAUCAGUAAGGUUGCCCAUUGGAAUACUUAAGGACCUUCCUGUCAUGGUUGGAAACUGUGAAGUACCCACUGACUUCGUCGUUCUUGAGAUGGACGAGGAACCCAAAGACCCCUUGCUCUUUGGUAGACCAUUCCUUGCUACUGCAGGAGCUGUCAUUGAUGUAAAUAAUGGCAAGAUAGAUCUUCAUCUUGGGAAAAAUAAUGUUCUGAAAUUUGAUAUCAGAGAUGUGAUGAAGAAGCCUACAAUAGAAGGGCAAGUCUUUUACAUAGAAACCAUGGAUUCACUCGCUGACGAGUUUCUGGAAGAGCUGGCUAUUGAAGACUCCCUUCAGCAUGCUCUUACCAUUGAAAAAGAAGAUCAACUGAUCGAGAGCAAGAAAAGCGAUGAGUACUCAAGGAGGAUGGACUCUUGCAAGAUGGCAGAGGAUGCAGAUCAGUUCAUGGACUUACCAGAGAUCAAUCACCAUGCCCACUCAGUGGAACAGCAGGAUGAAGCUCUCAACGAUGAUUGGAGUGAGCUCAAAGCCCCAAAGGUGGACCUGAAACCGCUUCCCAAUGGGCUCAGGUACGCUUUUCUUGGACCAAAUGAAACUUAUCCAGUGAUUGUGAAUGUUGAUCUCACUGAUGAUGAAUUGUCUUUACUCCUGAAUGAACUGAGAAAAUAUAGAAAGGCAAUUGGUUACUCUCUAGAUGAUAUUAGAGGAAUUUCACCUUCACUUUGCAUGCACAGGAUACACUUAGAAGAUGAAUCAAUGACUUCUAUAGAACAUCAAAGAAGGUUGAAUCCCAACCUGAAAGAUGUUGUUAAGAAAGAGAUUCUAAAACUUUUGGAUGCGGGGAUAAUCUAUCAUAUUUCUGAUAGUACCUGGAUUUCCCCCGUCCAUGUUGUGCCAAAGAAGGGCGGAAUCACUGUGGUUAGGAAUGAAAAAGAUGAAUUAAUUCCAACUAGAACAAUCACAGGUCAUCGAAUGUGCAUUGACUAUAGGAAAUUAAACUCUGCAUCUAGAAAAGAUCAUUUUCCUUUGCCAUUCAUUGAUCAAAUGCUUGAGCGUCUUACUAACCACCCCUAUUAUUGCUUUCUUGAUGGAUACUCGAGAUUCUUCCAAAUCCCCAUACAUCCCAAUGAUCAGGAGAAAACGACUUUCACCUGUCCAUAUGAUACCUUCGCAUAUCGAAGGAUGCCAUUCGGAUUGUGUAAUGCACCAGCAACCUUUCAGAGGGCUAUGAUGUCGAUUUUCUCUGAUCUUAUUGAGGAAGUUGUGGAGGUAUGCAUGGAUGAUUUCUCUGUAUAUGGUUCUUCUUUUGCCUCGUGUUUGUCUAAUCUGUGCAGGGUCUUACAAAGAUGUGAAGAAACAAAUCUCGUCCUCAACUGGGAAAAAUGCCACUUCAUGGUGAAAGAAGGGAUUGUUCUGGGUCACAAAAUCUCUGAGAAAGGCAUAGAGGUUGAUCAGGCUAAGAUUGAUGUCAUGAUGGGUUUACAACCGCCAACAUCUGUGACAGGGAUCAUAAGUUUCCUUGGACAUGCAGGCUUCUACAGGCGCUUCACAAAAGACUUCUCGAAAGUAGCGCAGCCAUUGACCCGACUCUUGUGCAAAGAAAUUGAGUUCUGUUUCAGCCAGGAAUGCCUUGAAGCAUUCAACAAGCUGAAGAAUGAUCUGGUGUGUGCCCCUAUUGUUCAACCGCAUGAUUGGGACCUUCCUUUCGAGAUCAUGUGCGAUGCCAGCGACUAUGCUGUUGGGGAAGUGUUGGGGCAAAUGAAAGGCAAUAAAUCUCAUGUGAUCUACUAUGCCAGUCGCACUCUUGAUGAAGCACAGGUGAACUAUACCUCCACAGAGAAAGAGCUUCUAGCAGUGGUCUUUGCAUUUGAAAAAUUCAGAAGCUAUCUGGUUGGAUCAAAGGUAGUUGUCUACACAGAUCAUGCUGCUUUAAGACAUCUACUGGCAAAGAAAGAGGCAAAGCCAAGACUUCUGAGAUGGAUCUUACUACUCCAGGAGUUUGAUCUUGAAAUUAAGGAUAGGCCAGGAGUGGAAAACGGUGUAGCUGAUCAUCUGUCCAGGUUGAGAAUUGAAGGAGGGAUUCCUAUUGAUGAGGGACUCCCUGAAGAGCAAAUAAUGGCUAUUAAAGCAGUUGAUUUUGCUUACAAGACUAGAGAAAGGUUAGAAGAGGCCAAGGCAUUGGAAGAAAGAUUACCUUGGUAUGCAGACUUGGUGAACUACUUAGCUUCUGGAAAAGAACCGUUGGGGCUUGAAGGAUAUCAGAGGAAGAAAUUCUUCAAGGGCGUCAAGAGAUACUUUUGGGAUGAGCCAUAUCUCUAUACACGGUGUAAGGAUCAGCUUUACAGAAGAGUUGUAGCUGAGGAAGAAAUUGAAGGCAUCCUUUCACACUGUCAUGGGUCAUCUUACGGUGGUCACUUCGCUACGUUCAAGACAGUAGCAAAAGUCCUUCAAGCUGGCUUCUGGUGGCCCAUAUGUUCAAAGACACACAAGAGUUUGUGUCCAAAUGCGACUCAUGCCAAAGAAGAGGUAACAUCAGUAAGAGAAACGAGAUGCCUCAGAAUCCAAUUCUGGAAGUUGAGGUGUUUGAUGUCUGGGGCAUAGACUUCAUGGGGCCAUUUCCCAUGUCUUUCGGGAACAAAUAUAUCUUGGUGACUGUCGAUUAUGUAUCCAAAUGGGUUGAGGCAAUUGCUAGUCCAACCAACGAUUCCAGAGUAGUCAUCAAGAUGUUCAAGACCAUCAUCUUUCCUAGAUUUGGAGUUCCAAGAGUUGUGAUCAGUGAUGGAGGAUCUCACUUUAUCAACAAAAUCUUCGAGAGCUUAAUGAAAAAGAAUGGGGUUAAGCAUAAGGUAGCAACACCUUACCACCCUCAGACUAGUGGACAAGUUGAGGUUUCCAACAGGGAGAUUAAAGCCAUCCUGGAGAAAACUAUGGGAACAACAAGGAAAGACUGGUAGUGAAGUUGGAUGAUGCACUCUCGGCAUACAGAACAGCUUUCAAAACACCACUUUGGACAACGCCUUUCAACUUAGUCUACGGAAAGUCUUGCCACCUUCCGGUCGAGCUUGAAUACAAAGCCUUGUGGGCUGUUAAGCUCCUGAACUUCAACAUCAAAACCGCCAAGGAGAAGACACUGAUCCAGUUGCAUGAGCUAGAUGAAAUCAGGCUUGAUGCCUUUGAAAGCUCUAGGAUUUACAAAGAGACGACUAAGGCUUUCCAUGAUAAGAAGAUCUUAAGGCGUGAAUUCAAGGCUGGUGAUCAAGUGCUGUUGUUUAACUCUCGGUUGAAGAUUUUUCCCGGAAAACUCAAGUCAAGGUGGUCAGGACCUUUUGUGAUCAAGGAAGUAAGACCGUAUGGAGCUGUGGUGUUGACAGGAAAGCAUGGAGAAUAUUUUACAGUGAAUGGUCAACGUUUAAAGCUCUACAUGGUUGAUCAGGAGAUUGGUGAGGAAGCCUCGGUUCCUCUCUCUGAACCAAUCUCAGCCUAAGAAAUGAAAAGGAAGUCAAGCUAAGAGACUUAAAACAAUCGCACUUGAGAGGCAAUCUCACGUUAUCCUUUGUAUAUAUUAUCUACUUAUAUUUGUUAAAAAGGAUUGCAGGUCUACGCAAGAAGGCAACAAACAAGUUCGGGGGAACUCUGCAUCUCUUCCCACCCAAUCUACCCUCCCAUACUUCUAGCUCAGGCUCAAGGUAAGUGUCAUUCCAUCCCUGCGCAUAUUUAGUUUGUUUUAUUUCAUCUUUUGUGGUCUUUCCUUCAUCUUCACUCUCACACAAGGGACUGUGUGAAGUAAGUUUGGGGGAGAGACCUGUUAUCUCACAUAUUCUUUUGUUUUCUCUGAGUCUCAUGCAUCACAUUGUUAAUACUUAUUGCAUUUAAAAAACCCAUAAGAAUUUGAAAUUUUUUGAAAAACAAAAACAACAUUUAGAUUCAUUUUGUUACAUUUCAUUAUUAGGAUCGAGUCUACAAGCAUAUAGGUUGCAUUCAUGUGCAUAGGAAGCUGCUGCAAAGAACUCAUGCUAAGAACUCAGUGUGAUACCCGUUUUAAUCAUAGUAAGUAGCAUGAACAUAUCUUGAAAGUCUUGUAAGUUUUGAGCCUUGAAAACUCUUCUUGAACUCAUUGCUUGGUUGAAACUGCUUGUCCUUGAUUCCAACUCCAAUGUAUUUGAGUCUAAAGAACCUAAUUUCUCUCGCUUAUGGGCUCUUGAAUGCUUGAUCAUGGAUACCUUAUACACACUUGGAUUGUCUUUACUCCAUUUCCACCAAUCUCUGUCAAUCCAAGUGGCCAUCUUAGGAUGGUUUCCACUCCUUAAGCCAUACCCUUCCUUUCAGACCAAUGUUAAAUUGCUUGAGUGAUGCCUGUUUCUGAUAGCUUUGACAUGUGCAAAAACUUGAGAGUAUUGGGAACGACGACUGUUGGUUCUCAUUUUGGCUAGCUAUUAGGACUUCAUUUGAGCUAGCAAUUAGGAUGGGCAGUGGGUUUAGAAUGUAUCUAAGGUCUGGGCUGAGCAUGUUAUUUGGAUCAAGGAGGGAAGAAAAAGAAUGAACCACAAAAGUGAGAGGUCACUAGGGAUCAAAAGAAACUUUAGCUAUAAGAAGAAGAGAAGAAAAGAACCCCUGAUUGAAAAAAAAAAUGAAAAGUGUGGGGGAAAAAAAAGAAAAUAGAGCUAAGUGAAGAAAUAUACCAAGGAAUCCCUAGUAGACUAGCAAUGAAAGAGUGAGUUCAUCUGGUGAGUGAAAAAGAGUGAAAGGUUAUUUGGGUUUUGGGUGAGAAAAAGAAAGAUUGACAUGAGGAAAAAGGUAGAACAGUGAGGACUAACUGUUGUAUGCAUAAAUUGUUCUCCUUCUUAUAUAGAUUUUGCAUAAUGUCAUUGCUCCUAUGUUUGAGAGUGAACCACCCACCAAAAAGCGCUGAACCUUUUGCUUCACUAUUUACAACCAUUUCUUCACCUUACCAAAUGAUCAGGAUAAAGUUCCCAUCUGCGAGACUUCACCUUGAGACUUGGUUUUAAUGAAUGUGAGGGUUGGUUGAAUGACUUGUAAUGGAUUCUAAGUGGUGAGGGUAGAGAAACAAAAUUUGGAGUUGAGGUAGGCCUUGAGAAACUAGAGUUCAAUAAGGAAUCAUGUCUUUGCUAUUUGUUAUGAUUUUGUAUGGAUGUCAUGUUGAAGGCUUUGAAGAGUCUCUUUACUUAGCAAUUUCCAUUUUCAAACCUCUCUUUCCCACUCUUCUUGAAAGUUUACUUGUGGACAAGUAAAGAAGCAAGUUUGGGGGAGUUGAUAUAUAGUCUAUUUACAUGUUUUUAGCUAUAGAUUAUGGUCAUUUUUAGUGUUUAGGAGUUGCAUUUAGAUGUCACUAGAUGUUGCAUUUGUACAUAUGUGUUUAGGAGUUGCAUUUAGAUGUCACUAGAGAAUAUAUGUUGAUAUAUAGUGUAUUUAAUGUUUUUAGCUAUACAUUAUGGUCAUUUUUAGUGUUUAGGAAUUGCAUUUAGAUGUCAUUAGGUGUUGCAUUUGUACAUAUUGCAUACACAGGGGUUAAAAUGCACAAUCAAGAGUUAUGGAGCCAUUUCGAGGACUUUUCUAUACAAAACAGAAGUUACGGGGUCGAACUAGAAAGGAGGCAAAAUGCAGGGACCAAAUGUGCAAUUUCGCAGAAUUUCACCAUGUGUGUGUCGCGAGCUUCAGAGCGUUCGAUGUGGAGAAGGGAUAUGCUCGAUCCGAUGCUCUCGGCCGUGAUGCGUUUAUGUCUUGCUCCCGAAGAGUUCCAAUCGAUCGAUGCCUGAAGACGAGCUUGCUAGCUUCACCCCUCUUGAUCUGAAACCCACAGCCGUGAAGAGCAAAGCGAACGAUGGUGAUAUUGUGGCUUGGUCGAUUCGUUCUCCUCGAUCCCACCUGAUGAUUCUCGAGCUUGGACGAUCGCAAGGGAGGAGACGAGCUUGUUUUAGUUGUUCCGACGAGAAGACGAGCUCCGGUAGUCACCACACGAAUUGGCCGACGAAGAAGACGAGACGCAUCGGCUCAGGUAUGGCGGAGGUGUGGUCUCGGCAAGAAGGCAGAGCUCCGGUGGUCGCCACACGAAACGAAACGAAGCAAGCUCCAGUCACAGACUCGUGAAGAAGAAGACCCAAGCAGUUGCAGCAAUGGAGGAUUUGCGAGGAAGAUGAAGAAACGCAGUCGCCAAACGCGAUUUCCAAACUCUAAACACCAAACGCGAUUUUGACUUGAUCGCAGCGUUUUGUAAAUCUGCGUUUGACCUUUAUUUUAAGGACCUAUAAAUACUUGUUAAGGAAAAAACUUCAGGGGAUCUUAGUUUUUAGAUCUACUUUUCUCUUUUAACAACUUUUGUAAAAGCUUGAAUCUUUAUCAUCUUUAAACAUUUUAAUCUUGUGUUAUUUUGAUUAUCUCUUCUUCUAAUCAUGAU
rnacentral:lncRNA from 1 species